GCCAAAUCAAGCCCAAAAAACACACCAACAACCAAAGAAACAACCAAAACAUUUGACACAUGGAAGUAGCUGCGACCGAACCCAGCCCAAGACGCAAUAGAGACAGUACUGCAAAGAAAAAAUGAAAUAAAAUUAUACUUAAAGCAAAAAAAAGCAGGAUUUAACCCCCGUACCUCUUGCAUCACAGUUUAGCAAGAACACGCAAACAAGAUGCCCCCAAGUUUGCCCCCCCGAACGCAAGUGAGCUAUUUUUAAACAGUUUAAAGAACGCACCCAUUUCUGUAGCAAAAGAACGGGAAGAUUUAGAAAUAGAAGUAAAAAGCCAACCGAACUUGCUGAUAGCUGGUUGCCUGAUACACGAACUUUAGUUCAAACCUGGCACUAACCAUAAGCAAAUAUGCACCCUUUCGCCCAGGAACUAGUCAACGAAGGUACAGCUCCGCUGACUAAGGAUACAACCUUUACCAGAGAAAAACCACCCCAUAGAAGAACUGUAGGCCUCAAAACAGCCACCACAGAAUAUCACGUUACAGUAACACAACAAAAAUACAACCCGCUCCCCUCCUCCUGCCUCCAUCCCAGGCCAUUCUAUCCCCAACAUAGAAGAAACAAUGCUAAAAUUAGUAAUUAGAAAUGCUCUCCUCGGACAAAAAUCUUUCAUCAUCAGACAACCCAAUACAUGAAACCUACUCCACAGACCAUAAAACACACUGUAAAACCAACCAAGGAUUGUCCACGGAAGACCCAAAAUCUAAAAAGGAACUCGGCAAACUGCCUCUCCAACUGUUUACCAAAAACAUAGCCUUUAGCCCCACUACAAUUAAAGGUACCGCCUGCCCAAUGAGGAAACCCUUAAACGGCCGCGUGUAUUAACCGUGCAAAGGUAGCAAAAUCAUUCGUCCCAUAAAUGGGGACCCGUAUGAAUGGCAACAUGAGAGAGAAACUGUCUCUUUAGACUGGCCAAUGAACUUGAUCUUCCUGUACAAACGCAGGAAUACAAAAACAAGACAAAAAGACCCUGUGAAACUUCAAACGUCCAUCAACCCAAUGAUCAAGACAUUUUAGGUUGGGGCAACCUAAGAGAAACACAAACCUCACUCCCAAUCGUACGGCAAACAAGCCAACCGACCACACCAACAGACCCAGUAUUACUGAUUAAAGAACCAAGCUACUCCAGGGAUAACAGCGCCACAUUCUUGAAGAGUCCAUAUCAACAAGAAUACCUACGACCUCGAUGUUGGAUUAGGGCAUCCUAAUGGCGCAAAAGCUAUUAAGGGUUCGUUUGUUCAACGAUUAAAGCCCCACAUGAUCUGAGUUCAGACCGGAGCAAUCCAGGUCGGUCUAUAUCUGUUUAAAGCCUCACCCAGUACGAAAGGACCGAUGAAGCAAGGACUACUCAACACAGGCUCCUUAACAUAAACACUGCACACAAAUAAACCACAACAAACCAAUCAACCACAAGAAAAGCGGUUCACACCAAAAGCCUCUGCUAC
rnacentral:rRNA from 1 species